rnacentral:rRNA from 1 species
AGUGCCGUUGAUACUGUAGGGCUAGGAUUUGGUUGCUGUGGGUGGAAUGUGUGGUGUAGCGGUGAAAUGCUUAGAUAUCACACAGAAUAUCGAUUGCGAAGGCAGCUCACAAAGCCAAGAUUGACGCUGAGGCACGAAAGUGUGGGGAUCAAACAGGAUUAGAUACCCUGGUAGUCCACACUGUAAACGAUGAUAACUCGCUGCCGGCGAUACACAGUCGGUGGCCAAGCGAAAGCGAUAAUUUAUCCACCUGGAGAGUACGACCGCGAGGUUGAAACUCAAGAGAAUUGAGGGGCGCGCGCACACGCAGGAGAACGUGUGUUAUAUUUAUGAGAUGCGCGGAGAACUAUACGCGCUCUCAAAGUGUGUGUGUAUACACGAGAUUGUAUAUUCUUUCGGGACAUGUAUCUAGAUGCUCCACAGGUGUCGUCAGCUCUUGCCGUGAGAUGUGGGCGUAUGUGUCAUAUCAAGAGCACCACUUGUCAUUAGUUACAAUCAGGUCAAGCUGUGGACUCUCUUGAGACUGCCCCCGGAAGGUGUGAAGAAUGGGGGGAAUGACCUCCAAUCCGUCCGGGCCCUUAAUGUCGUGGCGCGACACCUGUGUAAAAUGGGCGGGUUCUAGAGGCCGGUCGUGCGGCGACGGAUCCCUUACCUGAAAAACCCAUCCCUAGGUGGGAAUCGCACUGGGAGACUAA